AUACUGGCUGAAGUACAGUUCAGCAUAUGGAGUCUAUUCCAAGAAAUGGAGGGAGAGAAAUCAAAACACAUGUUUUUCAAAAGUGCUGGAAUGGCCGGAUUAGCAGAAAUUACAAAUGGUCUGGAAGAGUUAAAAAGAAGGUGUUUAAGAAGCUGCUCAGAAGAGGGUUUUGCCUGGAACCACGUGGUUUCCUAGUUGAAAAUAGCUAGUGAAACUGGCAAUACAAAAAGAAGUGGAUCAUCACCCUCUUUUUCAUAAUUUAGUUGGGUUAAUGUAUUGAAAAAUCUGUGCAAAAACAUCAUGUGGGCAGCCUAUGCAAAGGGGAUUUUUCCUCAGAAACCUCAGCACAGACAGCACAGUAAUUUGAACAGCCAGAGAUCAUCCAAAACCCUUCAGGAACUGUUCUUCUCCCCACAGAUUUCAUGUUCCCAGCAAUCUCUGUACAAAGCUGUCAGCUCUAAGUGGGCUGGGCAUCAUAUGGAGCAUCGCCUUGCUCGAAGGCUGAAGCAGCCGGUUGGACGUCAGGCAGCACUUGAGGAUGAAAGUCUAGCUGCCUUGGGAAAUACAGAGGCUUUUACUCUGAGGUCCAAAGAAAAAACUACAGAUCAGGCCAGAAGUCACCAUGCAAAUUCCAGUGCAUUUUCAGGUAGAUCUCAACAGAAGGAUAAAACCUGUUUAUCAGAAGAGGAGUUAUUCUUCAAAAGGCACACAACAGCAAUGCAGAGAGGAGUAAAUUUAAAUAAUUGGGUCCUGCCAACCCAGAGAACAGAUGAAAUACCUCACUUGAAGAGCCUGGAGAUUAGUGAUGACAAGGGAAACAACAGAGUGAUGACAGACUCAUUGAAAAGUGCUUUGUUAGAAACUGUUGCUUUAGCUAAAAAUGAGCAUUCCAGUCAGGAUAAUGGAGCAGACAGACCUGUCUACAGUGAAUCCUCAUCACAAAGUACAGCUCAGCUGGAGCCGCAGUCUGCAAGCAGGGCUGAAAAAACAAAGUCUUCUACUCCUUUGUUACUCAGGAGCUGGGAGGUGCCUGCUAAUCUGGGAGAAGAUAAACAACGGGACCCUCCUGAUAGUGACAGAGACAGGACUAUAAUUAGGGGACACAUCAAUAUACCAUAUUCAGUCAGAAAGAAAGUCUUUAUGGUCUACAUUUGUGGAGGUUAUCAAAGUAUAGCAAUUGGAAACCAGCCCCAUUCCCACCACAGACACUCCCACACCCUGAGAUUCCUGGACUAUCAUGUCUAA
rnacentral:lncRNA from 1 species